GAGGAGUACUAAGAGUGGGCAUCCUUGUCUUGUUCCCAUUCUCAGAGGGAAUGCUUUCAACUUUUCCCCAUUCAGUAUUAUGUUGGCUGUGGGUUUGUCAUAGAUGGCUUUUGUUACAUUAAGACUGGAAAAGAAUGGCCCAGAUCCUCUGGACUCCUCAGAUGAGCGGAUUCAGAGAGAAGCUUUUGAGAGCGUGCUGGCGGAGACAUUUUUCACAAAAGAGCCCUUGCGGUGCUGGUGUCCGUGGCGUGCCUGGGUGGAAAAUGAGCUUAUAUAUGAAGAAGUCAGCGAGUGGACAAAGCCAGGCGCAAUGGAUAGCAAAGAUGUGGAAGUCUCCUCGAUUCAAGUUACAAGAAAACCGCAGCAUGGAGUCUGCUCUCAGCUGUUGGGGAAUUACCGAUGCCUUUGACUAAGUCAAGACUGACUUUUCCAGAAUAUCACCCAAGAGAUAGAGCCGUCCCUGUCCAAGUUUGUGCGCUAGCCCUUCAUGGAGGUCAGAGAGGAAGAAACAAAGGCAGCUGUGGCCUCGGCGGUCACAGUGUCAGAACGCACAAGCCCCAUAAAGAGGUUUCACGCAGGCCACCCAUCCCUUUUCAUUCUCCAGCAGAACAGGACAGAGAGCGUUCUGUUCUGCGGAAGGUCUUCCACUCUACAAGGCAAUCCCUCCAGCUGCUUUGCUGUAUUGUGCUGUCUCCUGUCACACUAUGAAUGCAGUGACCUCAGCCAGCAACAGGGAGAACCCCCCUGCCUCCCGAACAAAGGACCUCACGUGAAAUCCUGAGCUCAGAGCUUACAGAUAUGUGUGCGCUUUCACUUUACAUCGGCCGUGACUUCCAAACAACUUCAGGAAACUUUAGGAUCUCUGAGGUAUACUGGAGAUGACAGCAGCGUAGAAUGUUCAUUUGGAUUUAGAACAGAAAUGCUUAUUUUAUAUUUGGCUGCUCCCAAACUGUCCCCAGACUUCCUCUCCAGUGGUUACCCUCCACUGCCCUGGAUGUCCCACGUUUACACUCCACACUCACACCUCCACCUUAACAAAGUCCUCCACUGGGUCAAACCAUACAUCGCUUCGUCUCUGUAGUGAUGACUUCCUGUCCUCUGCUCUGUGGAUAAAGACCCCAGAUAAAGAUGCCUGUGUUGCUCAACUCUUGUAAAUACUCUUGAGACAUUUUGAAAGCAGAAGGAAAGGAGACAGACGGGGAAAAUAAAAGGGAUGGUCUGCUUGUGCGGAAACGUUUUGAGAAUGCCCUUCCCUAAGAGAGAACAGUAAAAGUGAGCAAUACUUCCUGAGCUGUGGGUUCAUAUGGCUGGACUGUGCUGUUUCUCACGGGAGAAGUUCUCGUCUCCCCUGCGUGUACAUCCCUGUUUGCCAGCCUGGCCUUCGGUGUGGUGAUAUCAUGGUGCACUCCCAGGAGGGAAGUGCUUGGUCAAGACUUCUGCUUGGGUUCGACUAUCAGUUCUGGUUUCCUUUAAGGCACAGGAUCUUCCCUUUAAGGCACAAACACCCCCUUGACACAAAGUAAGGGACAAGGGAACUUUAAACCAUUUGGAAACCCAAGCACAAUAGGCUGUAGGUUGUAAAAAGAAAUUACAAAGGUAAUUUUAUCCAGAAGAGGGAGCAGUUUAACUUCUGCAGGGUAAGAUUCAGAUUCACU
rnacentral:lncRNA from 1 species